GAUGAACGCUGGCGGCGUGCCUAAUACAUGCAAGUCGAGCGAACAGAUGAGGAGCUUGCUCCUCUGACGUUAGCGGCGGACGGGUGAGUAACACGUGGAUAACCUACCUAUAGGACUGGGAUAACUUCGGGAAACCGGAGCUAAUACCGGAUAAUAUAUUGAACCGCAUGGUUCAAUAGUGAAAGACGGUUUUGCUGUCACUUAUAGAUGGAUCCGCGCCGCAUUAGCUAGUUGGGAAGGUAACGGCUUACCAAGGCAACGAGGCGUAGCCGACCUGAGAGGGUGAUCGGCCACACUGGAACGGAGACACGGUCCAGACUCCUACGGGAGGCAGCAGUAGGGAAUCUUCCGCAAUGGGCGAAAGCCUGACGGAGCAACGCCGCGUGAGUGAUGAAGGUCUUCGGAUCGUAAAACUCUGUUAUUAGGGAAGAACAAAUGUGUAAGUAACUAUGCACGUCUUGACGGUACCUAAUCAGAAAGCCACGGCUAACUACGUG
rnacentral:rRNA from 1 species